GUUCCAUGAUUUGAGGUGUAGAGGGAAUGUGGGCUCGUUAUUGACGUGUAAUUACUAGCUUACUAGCUACUAUAUACGCGUAAAAAAUUUACUACUUUUACAUCAUUGUUAACUGAGUACUGAAUGCCUUAGCUUUCAGCUUUUCACAUCGGAGUAUUCAAAAGAAUCCAUUAUUACCAGAAUUAAAGGCUUAAGAGCUACCACAAUCUGAGGACAAGUAUUUUCAUAAAUAACGAACGACACUUCAUUUAUUGCAAAUUCAGAUUCGAUUAAUUGACUUGAAUUGCCAUUGACUUGCUAGUCCUUCCCAAGACCGACCGACCAAAAAAUAAAAUCGAGCUUUUGCCGAAAACACAGGUCCAUUUGAAUCGAGCUUUUGCCGAAACCGACCAAAAAAUCCUCCAUCACUCUAAUAAUGAAAACUGAAACACAGGUCCAUCUUUCUGAUGUAAGUAAUAAAAAAAAAAUGUUCAUAC
rnacentral:lncRNA from 1 species